AGUAGGGAUUAUUGGUUGUUAUAUUUUAAUGAAUUUGAAAAUCUGAACUAAAUCUAGUGUUAUUGGUUCUGUGAUUUUCAAAUCUGUAUUAAAAUCAAGUGUUAUUGGUUUAAUGAUUCAUAAAUUCUAUAUUAAAUCAAGUGUUAUUCAAUCGUACGGAUCUACUAUUAUAUUUGAUUUUAUAAUGGAUUUGAAUAGAUUUUUUUGGAUUUUUUAGUUAAAAAUACAAAGACUCAAAUCCG
rnacentral:lncRNA from 1 species